CCUACUCCACACUGGGAGACAUGGAAAUAAAUGAAAACUCCUAUCCUUUGGGGGAAGUUAUGUUCCAGGGAACAGAAAACACUAAACAGAUGUUAUAACCCCUGUACCUGCACAAAUUAUUUGCAUUCUCACAGCAGCCGUUGUUAUUUCACUUGUAGGUUAAAUAGCUGUCUGGGGUCUCAGCCAGGAAAUAGUGGAGUUGAGAGUUAAACCCAGGACAGUGGCUCCAGGCCUGUGCACCUGACAGCUGCAUUCUCCUGCAUUUCCAAAUUUGUAUCUUCGUUCUGCCUCUCCUUCAAUUGCUUUGAAUAUUGCCACAUAGUGUCCUGGAGUCUUUUCAGACUCAUUGGUUAACCUAAAGUUGUCAUCUUCUCCCCCAAAUCAGCUGUCUGCUUUUAUCUAUCCCAGUAGCAUUGCCGUUCUCCCUGUAAACCAAGCUCAGCAUUGCGUUUCCGUCAUGGAGUCAUGACCUUCUCCAUUCCUGUAACAUCUCCAUUCUCAAGUCCUGUUGGCUUUGAAGACAAAUCUCUUAUCUUCAUCCCAGUGACCCAAAAAGGCAAGCCCAAUUUUUACUCCUUUUUUAUAGAUGAGGACAGUAAGGAUCCAAGAGGUCAAGUGCCUUGCUCAAGGCCACACAGCUAAAAGAAGUUAAAACUUAACCCCUAUCCUUUGAUCACAGACUUUGCACUAUGAACAAAUUGUUUCAGGUAGAAAUUUACAUCUCUGAAUCUGCCUCAGGAGCCCAGAGAAGGAAAGGACUACAGCUUAAGCCAUGUCUGGAUCUCUUACACAGAAUUGGGGACUUGUGUUGACUCAAAGAACUGGAACUAUGAAGUCCAAAUUGUCAGGACACAACUCCGAUGUGGUGUCCUAAAAAUUACUGCUCUGACAUUCCACCAGAUGGCAGUAUUUUCCCCGUGAAAGAGGACAUGAGGCCAUGUCACAGAGAGGCUUGGUUGAAGUGACCAAAGAAUUUGAAUUUGAAGUGGUUUCCAACCACACACACACACACACACACACACACACACACACACACACACACACACCACACACACACUGUUUAAAAUCUUGCUGAACUUAAAAUGCUGAUGAAAUCUUGAGGACUAUGCGGUGGAGCAUAAAUGUAAUUCGACCUCUAGUCAGACCUUUGGCAUUUCCUAGCUAGAAGACCCUGUGGAAAUCUCUUAAUGUCUCAGCUUUUAUUUUCCUAUCUGCAAAGUGGGUAUAAGAAUAUCCGCUUAGUCCCCCUCACAGACAGGGCUAUCGUGAAACUGAAAUUGGCUAUGUGUGAAACUAUAGAUGACUUUGUAGAUAUACACUCUUACAAUGUUGGAUGCUAUGAAAUUAAUUUAACUGUUUGUUCAGUAAUUAGUUUUGUAGAAACGCUUUCCCUAAAGCCUUGCUACUCUUAAGUGUGGUCUGCAGACCAGCAGAUCUGUAUCACCUGAGAGUUUGUUAGAAUUACAGAAUAUAACUCAUCUUGGACUACUGCAUUUUAAUGCUGUGUAUUUUAACAAGAUCCUGAGGUGGUUCAUAUGCAUCAUAAAGUUUUGAUACUGGCUAGAAAAUUCUUAGGUUUAGUGAAUAAAGAAAAUAGCAAGAAAAACAAGUUCUGGAGUUCGUUUGGGAGUUAACACUGAGUUCGUUCAGUUCAGUGUUGCCCAUAAUACGAGACGUGUUCACCAUGAUGAGCCUGAGGCACCUUAAGCAAAUUGUUUCCAAAGCUCAAAAAAGGUCUCUGUGUCCCAAGUUAUGACUUAGGGAGAGUGAAUGGAGGUUGAAAACAUUCUGGAGUUGAAAUCAGUCAGGUCAGACUAGGCUAUGCUGUGAUGACAAACAACCUGACAUUUUGGUGGCUUUAAAACCUGAUAGGUAUGUUGGCAUGACAUGAAGCAGGGGGCUCUGCUCAGGCACUCAGGACCCAGGCAGGUGGAGCUGCCGCCAUCCCAAACAGUGCAUGAAAAGAGCUCCAGAGAGUGAAGUGCACUGGUGGGAAGAUGUUCCACCUGGAAAUGAUACAUGGGGUGGGGGUGGGGAGCAGGAAGCGCAAUCCUCUCCUGUGUUUGGAAGGUCAACAACUAGAAAUAUUCAGUGAACAGCACUGAUAACCACCACAAAGGUUAUCUCUGAGCUGUUCAGAGCAGCAGCUCCCAGGACAGGAGAACUGACCAGGGACAGCUCAUUAAAUGUACAGAUCCCAGAGCCCCACACCAGGGAUCCAGCUAGAACCAGGAAUCUGUUUUACCGAGAGCCCCAGGUGAUUCGGAUGCACUCUUUCCACAGACCAGCAUCUGGAAACCACUGAGUUUGAGCCCUCCUACCCCUCAACCCCAUCUUGAACGUAAAAGUCACUGCGUCCAUUUCUCAGGGUUGCUGUAGCAAGUUACCCCAAACUUGGUGGCUUCAAAGAACAGAAAUGCAUUCUCUCCCAGUUCUAGAAGCCAGGAGGUCUAAAAUUAAGCUCUUUCCAGAGGCUCUGAGACAGACUCUGUUCUCUGCCUCUCUCCUGGCCAGUGGUGGCUGCUGGCCAUCCUUGGUCUUUCUUGGCUUAUAACUGUAUAAUCCAAUUUCUGCCUCCAUCCUCACAUGGCCAUCUCUGUGUUUCUGUGUCUUCUGUCAUAAGGACACUUGUCAGGAGUUCCCAUCAUGGCAUAGCGGAAAUGAAUCUGACUAGGAGCCACGGGGUUGUGGGUUUGAUCCCUGGCCUCGCUCACUGGGUUAGGGAUCUGGCGUUGCCAUGAGCUGUGGUCACCCAACCCAGGUAAUCCAAGAUGAUCUCAUCUUAAAAUGUCUAAUCUAUCUGAAAAGACCCUUUUUUCCAAGCAGGGUCACCUUGGGGGAACAUAUCUUUUGGGGGUCCGCUGUUCAAUCCAUUACAGACCCAAGUUCGCGCUGAGCCCAGUCUUCUGCCUGUCCUCUCUGGACCGUCAAGAUAGGCUUUGAGAGCCACAUACCACAAGGGGUCAGGCAAACCUUAUUUUUCUGCGGCUGUUUCCUUUCAAUGUUUGGAAAUACCCUCCACUGUGAGGGUCAACCAGGACAAGCUUUGGGCUGGGAUCUGGGACCCAGCAGCCGAUUUUCUCCUCUCUGCCCCAUGCAAAAUAGAGGGGUUGCAUGCCAGGAAUGCGCAUGGGAUGAGCAGCCCUCUGUUUGCACACCUCACUCUGCCAAAGCCCUGGAGAAGGUUCCCUAAUGUUUUAGUAGCCUCGGACCAUUCUGGGACCCGGAUGUUGACUCCUCAGCUUGAGGGCUCUGCUCUUGAAAACUUCCAAGGUUGGAGAAUUCCAGGUGGGGGGGCCAUAAGAGAUUAUGAGGAAAAUAGGUGUGGGCCUCAGGUCAUCAGAGGAACGCUCAUUUUUAUACUCUCUAAAAGAUGAUAGUAAUGACAGAACAUUAAAUAGAACACUUCAAUGUCAUUUGACACAUCUCGAAUUAGUAGUAAUGGCUGCUCAACAAUUAUUUUCCAUUUAAGUAAUUCCUUUGCUCUCCCCCUAAGCACUGAGCACAUUCAGGAGGCAUGAGACAGGCAUCUCGCUGCGUUUUCGAGAGCAUCAUUCCCUUCCUCGUGUGACUUUCUCUUUUAGGACCAACGUUUUUGGAAUGGGGUGGCAGUGAGCCCCGACAUCACUCUCCUGAGUCACAGUCUGGAGAGACUUGUGCUUUCUCACCUGGGUGAUUGCUGAAAAGGCCUGUGGAGGUAUGUCGGGGCACUAGACUUUGUCCCAAGCAGAGUCACAGCAAAAGGAUAGGAUUAAUAGGAACUUGGAAGGUUUGACCAUGGUUGUUCUGUCAGAUGGGCCCCAGGACCUCAAGCUGUCAGCUCUGUGGUCACCUCCUUAGAGCCCAGCCACCCACUGUCCACCCUUCUUUUU
rnacentral:lncRNA from 1 species